rnacentral:rRNA from 1 species
GGGGUUUGAUUAUGGCUCAGAUUGAACGCUGGCGGGAUGCUUUACACAUGCAAGUCGAACGGCAGCACGGACUUCGGUCUGGUGGCGAGUGGCGAACGGGUGAGUAAUGUAUCGGAACGUGCCUAGUAGCGGGGGAUAACUACGCGAAAGCGUAGCUAAUACCGCAUACGCCCUUCAGGAAAGCGGGGACCUUCGGGCCUCGCACUAUUAGAGCAGCCGAUAUCCCGGAUUAGCUAGUUGGUGGGGUAACGGCUCACCAAGGCGACGAUCCGUAGCUGGUUUGAAGGAGACGACCAGCCACACUGGGACUGAGGCACGGCCCAGACUCCUGCAGGAGGCAGCAGUGGAAAUUUUGGACAAUGGGAAACCACAGUCCAGCCAUCCCGCGUGUGCGAUGAAGGCCUUCGGGUUGUAAAGCACUUUUGGCAGAAGAAACGGCACGGGAUAAUACCCCGUGCAACUGACAGUACCUGCAGAAUAAGCACCGGCUAACUACGUGCCAGCAGCCGCGGUAAUACGUAGGGUGCAAGCGUUAAUCGGAAUUACUGGGCGUAAAGCGUGCGCAGUGAGUUCCGGAAAGAAAGAUGUGAAAUCCCAGAGCUUAACUUUGGAACUGCAUUUUUUAACUACCGAGCUAGAGUGUGUCAGAGAGGUGGAAUUCCGCGUGUAGCAGUGAAAUGCGUAGAUAUGCGGAGGAACACCAUUAGCGAAGGCAGCCUCCUGGGAUAACACUGACGGCUCAUGCACGAAAAGCGUGGGGAGCAAACAGGAUUAGAUACCCUGGUAGUCCACGCCCUAAACGAUGUCAACUAGCUGUUGGGGCCUUCGGGCGGUAGCGCAGCUAACGCGUGAAGUUGACCGCCUGGGGAAGUACGGUCGCAAGAUUAAAACUCAAAGGAAUUGACGGGGACCCGCACAAGCGGUGGAUGAUGUGGAUUAAUUCGAUGCAACUGAAAAACCUUACCUACCCUUGACAUGUCUGGAAUCCGAAGAGAUUUGAGUGCUCGCAGAGAGAACCGGAACACAGGUGCUGCAUGGCUGUCGUCAGCUCGUGUCGUGAGAUGUUGGGUUAAGUCCCGCAACGAGCGCAACCCUUGUCAUUAGUUGCUACGAAGGGCACUCUAAUGAGACUGCCGGUGACAAACCGGAGGAGAGGUGGGGAUGACGUCAAGUCCUCAUGGCCCUUAUGGGUAGGGCUUCACGUCAUACAAUGGUCCGGGACAGAGGGUCGCCAACCCGCGAGGGAGCCAAUCCCAGAAACCCGAUCGUAGUCCGGAUCGCAGUCUGCAACUCGACUGCGUGAAGUCGGAAUCGCCGUAAUCGCGGAUCAGCAUGUCGCGGUGAAUACGUUCCCGGGUCUUGUACACCGCCCGUCACACCAUGGGAGUGGGUUUUACCAGAAGUAGUUAGCCUAACCGUAAGGAGGGCGAUUACCACGGUAGGAUUCAUGACUGGGGUGAAGUCGUAACAAGGUAG